AAAAUAGGUGAACAAAGCUUUGAAGAAGGGUUGGUAUAUCUAGCGAGCGUUCGCCACAAGAGAUGACAUUUGCGACCGUUUGUAUGGCAGUUUUAGUGUAUUUGGAGGACCCCUUUUUUUCUUGUAAAACUAUCAUGAUAUAUCCGUUAAUAUUGAAGUGCAAAAAAGUCAUCCAAACUACUACAUAUCGUAGGGUCAAAAUCGUGUGGCAGCUAGGGCGUUCGCUGGCAGUUUCUUCUCGGCGAACGUUAGCCAGUUACUAAUUCCGAAAAAGAAAAACAGGUGAGCGCAUCUUCCUACCCAAAUCUACCGCGACCAUGGAUGCGGCGGCCGGGGUGGGGGGCCUGGGGCCAUGGCCCGGGGACGUUGCGGAGGCGGAGAAUCGCCGCACGUACGCCGCCUGAGUGUCCAGGCUAAACUAAACGCAGCAGAAUUUCCCUUUACAAGACCAUGUUACAAGCUAUCCGGUGCUCAACUUUGUUCCUUUCCUCAAAUGCUGAAACAGAGUGGUAUAAAUAUUUGCAAACUCAAAUAGCCCCUAGUCCACCCACAGGCAUUCUGCACACAAACACAAUAGUAUCAUUACAUCAAGAAGACCCAAUCAAACCUACGGCGCAUUUCACUGUCCAGAGGCUUCAGAACCAGAGGCUUCUGCCAUAUACAGGAUUUCAUUGGGCGGAAGUGAUGCAUGAUCCAACACCACGAGCUCUAGUUCAUCUGUUGAUCGGAGUGUAGGUCUGAUCCAGUGGCAACAACCAGUGGAGGAGGCCUGAACAAGCCCACGUAUUUCUGAAAAUCCAGUCAUAUUUGCUAACUUCCACAUCUUCAACUGCAGCUGCAUUGCCAGGAAGUUUUACUCAUUGUUGGAGAGGGUAGGAUGCGGUUGAAGAGUGAAGCCGGUAAUAGCAGAGCAUGGAGAGGCAAGUUAAAUUUCUGCUGGCAUUAGCACCUGCAAAGUUGUGAUGAGGAACGAAGGAACCUUGCGGGAGAAAGUUUCAGAACAUCCACGCUUUUCUCUGCAAAUUGACAGCUGAGGGUGAGCAACAGGCGGAGCUGGACGCACCAUGGAGUUUCAACAUGGGAAGAUGGAAUGGAACACUGCUUCUAAAAGCAGGAUUGAAACAACCCGCUUCGCUGUAUGUUGGUUUCUAUGGAGAGAGCAAGUGAAAUCGUCGAAGAGCUGAUAAAACAGAGACAUAGACUGCAUAACUCAUCGACGUUGCGACAACAUUCUCUGCGCUUGUACAGGUGGGAUGGCACAACUGUUGGUCUGGUCAGCUAAGACAGCAGUCAGACUGAGUCGUGAUGGGAGUCGAAGGCGAAGGUCAGAACUUUCUGUCAGAUGGAACAAUGAAUGACAGAAUGAAUAAUCGUGAUGGGAGUAUGAUACACAUUGUUUUCGCUAUUGUAUUUCUGAGUGCCAGCUAGAGAUGGCAUCGGACCAAUGUACAGUAUUUGUGAUGUACAUGCUUGUUUUCAUGGUGCACUCAGAAUCGCUGUAUGUGUGCCAAUAAGAUAGCUAAUAAUUGCUUGGCUUGUUUGCAUAUCUAAUAAAUGCUACAUGUUCUUCACUUGAUAUUACCUUACUCUGCAUUUGUCAGAUUUUGCGA